rnacentral:rRNA from 1 species
AUUGAACGCUGGCGGCAUGCCUUACACAUGCAAGUCGAACGACAGCACGGGUGCUUGCACCUGGUGGCGAGUGGCGAACGGGUGAGUAAUACACCGGAACGUACCUUAUCGUGGGGGAUAACGCAGUGAAAGUUGCGCUAAUACCGCAUCCGCCCUGAGGGGGAAAGCGGGGGCCCGUAAGGCCUCCCGCGCUUAGAGCGGCCGGUGUCUGAUUAGCGUGUUGGUGAGGUAAGAGCUCACCAAGGCGAUGAACAGUAGCUGGUCUGAGAGGACGAUCAGCCACACUGGGACUGAGACACGGCCCAGACUCCUACGGGAGGCAGCAGUGGGGAAUUUUGGACAAUGGGGGCAACCCUGAUCCAGCCAAUCCGCGUGAGUGAAGAAGGCCUUCGGGUUGUAAAGCUCUUUCGCAAGGGAAGAAAACUCGAUCUCUAAUAUAGGUUGAGGCUGACGGUACCUUGAUAAGAAGCACCGGCUAACUACGUGCCAGCAGCCGCGGUAA